AGCGAUUGACUCCGUCUCUGGUGGUCUUCUUUCAGGUCCUGGGAGAGUUCCCGUGAAGUCAAACACAAAGAAGUUCACCAUCAAAGACUUCGACAUCGGCCGUCCGCUCGGGAAGGGGAAGUUUGGUAACGUGUAUCUGGCGCGUGAGCGGAAGCUGAAGGUGAUUGUGGCUCUGAAGGUGCUCUUUAAGUCUCAGAUGGAGAAGGAAGGCGUGGAGCAUCAGCUGCGGAGAGAGAUCGAGAUCCAGUCUCACCUCAGGCAUCCGAACAUCCUGCGCUUCUACAACUACUUCCAGGACGACACGCGUGUGUUUCUGGUUCUGGAGUUCGCUCCGCGGGGAGAGAUGUACAAAGAGCUGCAGCGCUGCGGACGCUUCGACGAUCAGCGCACC